rnacentral:rRNA from 1 species
GAUCCUGGCUCAGGAUGAACGCUGGCGGCGUGCCUAACACAUGCAAGUCGAACGGAGUUAUUUUGGAAAUCUCUUCGGAGAUGGAAUCUUUAACUUAGUGGCGGACGGGUGAGUAGCGCGUGAGCAAUCUGCCUUUAAGAGGGGGAUAACAGUCGGAAACGGCUGCUAAUACCGCAUAAAGCAUCAAAUUCGCAUGUUUUUGAUGCCAAAGGAGCAAUCCGCUUUUA